UCUCCUCACAGGUCCCUGAGUCUGGUCAGAGACACUGUCCUUACUGUAGGGGCUCUCUCCUCACAGGUCCCUGAGUCUGGCCAGAGACACUGUCCUUACUGUAGGGGCUCUCUCCUCACAGGUCCCUGAGUCUGGCCAGAGACACUGUCCUUACUGUAGGGGCUCUCUCCUCACAGGUCCCUGAGUCUGGCCAGAGACACUGUCCUUACUGUAGGGGCUCUCUCCUCACAGGUCCCUGAGUCUGGCCAGAGACACUGUCCUUACUGUAGGGGCUCUCUCCUCACAGGUCCCUGAGUCUGGCCAGAGACACUGUCCUUACUGUAGGGGCUCUCUCCUCACAGGUCCCUGAGUCUGGCCAGAGACACUGUCCUUACUGUAGGGGCUCUCUCCUCACAGGUCCCUGAGUCUGGUCAGAGACACUGUCCUUACGGUAGAGUCUUCUCACAGAGCCCUGAGUCUGGCCAGAGACAAUGUCCUUACGGUAGAGUCUCCUCACAGGUCCCUGAGUCUGGCCAGAGACACUGUCCUUACUGUAGGGGCUCUCUCCUCACAGGUCCCUGAGUCUGGUCAGAGACACUGUCCUUACGGUAGAGUCUUCUCACAGAGCCCUGAGUCUGGCCAGAGACACUGUCCUUACUGUAGGGGCUCUCUCCUCACAGGUCCCUGAGUCUGGCCAGAGACACUGUCCUUACUGUAGGGGCUCUCUCCUCACAGGUCCCUGAGUCUGGCCAGAGACACUGUCCUUACUGUAGGGACUCUCUCCUC